rnacentral:lncRNA from 10 species
GUGACCAGAGCGCGUGCGCGAGGGUGUGGGGGGAUGGGAGGGGCAGCAGCCCUCUUCCGGGGGGGAGGGGCGGCGAGGCGAGGCCUGCGGAGCGGAGGAAGACAAACAUAAAGAUGAAGUGCUUAAUUCAAGGUCACACAAUGUCGGGGAUGGACCUCCAGAUUUCCUUACUGACCUGCAUUAUCUUGUGGAUACCUGAGUGAAUUCCACACCACCCAUUUUAUAGAUGAAACCACUGAGACAUGGAGCAAUUGACUGAGUAGUCACUGCCCCACCCCUGCCUGGAGCCUCACACAUGACUCGCCUCCUCUCAGUGACCACAGGUUGGUUGAGGGGUUUAACAAGGCUAAGAAGGUGAGACGUGGUCUUGUAACACAGUGGUUAAGAAUGUGACUUUGGAGCCAGCCUGCUAGGGGCUGAAUUCUGACUCAGCCAUUUACUAACUGUGUGACCUUAGGCUGGAGUGCAAUGGCAUGAUCUCGGCUCAUCACAACCUCUGCUUCCUGGGUUCAAGCGAUUCUCCUGCCUCAGCCUCCCGAGUACCUGGGACUACAGGCACUCGCCACCAUGCCCGGCUGAUUUUUGUAUUUUUAAUAGAGAUGGUUUCACUAUGUUGGCCAGGCUGGUCUCGAACUCCUGACCUUGUGAUCUGCCCACCUCAGCCUCGAAAAGUGCUGGGAUUACAGGCGUGAGCCACUGCGCCCAGCCUUGUAUUUUUUUUCAGUUUGGGUAGCUGUCCCUAAUUCAUUUGUUAAAGGAGAAGCAAGAGCAAGAACCUUUAAUCUGUUCUCCUCUUCCCUAAUUUGAAAGUAGCUUGUUAUUUUGAAUAUCACUUUCUCUGAAAUAGCACAUCUCCAUCUCAGAGAAUGGAUUUAAUGUUUGGAUACAGCCAAAAGUCAUUUCAUUACCAAACCAUGGGGUGAAUAUACCAUGUAAAGCAGUUUGGGAUCAGAACUCACAGUCUGAAUUGUAAGUGAUGAGACUGCUGUCUCUCUGCUACAGCUUCUUGGCUGGCUCUGAAGGCUCUUUGAAGGCAGAUCCUAACAAGGGGACUGCUUUGAAGGGCCAUUGUUCAUUUGGAAUGAUAAAGUCUAUGUUGUUCAAAAAACAAAUGCUUGUAGCAGGUAUUUUUUCACUCCAGACUGAGAAUAUUGGUGGGAUAUUGAUAAGGGGUACUGAAUGGUAAUAAACAUGUGCUCUAGCUCUGUGCUAGUCAGCUUAUUUCAGAACUCUAGUUUGAUUCAGUUUCUUGCCUCUGACUCAAAAUGGAGGGAGAGUGAUUUUUACAUAAGAGAACACACCCACAUAUCCUUUUGGCAGCAGCUACCUGCCAGAGAUGUUGAAGAAGAGUAGCCAACCUUUACACAGCAGAUAUUGUGUGCCAGUCAUAGUCCUAAGUAUAAUACCUUACAUGUAUAAACUUCUUAUAAGGUUGGUGCUCUGUACCGAAUUGAAUAGUAUCCCCCAAAAUUCAUGUUGUCCCAGAACCUAUGAAAGUGAUCUUACUUGAGGGAGGGGGGAGGGGGGAGGGAUAGCAUUAGGAGAUAUACCUAAUGCUAAAUGACGAGUUAAUGGGUGUAGCACACCAGCAUGGCACAUGUAUACAUAUGUAACUAACCUGCACAUUGUGCACAUGUACCCUAAAACUUAAAGUAUAAUAAUAAUAAAAUAAAAAAAAAAAAGAAAGUGAUCUUACUUGGAAAUAAGGUCUUUGCACAUAUGAUCAAGUUGAGAUGAAGUUGUACUGGAAAGUCUGUCUAGUGACUGGUGUUGUCAUAAGAAGAGAGGGACACAGAGGGAAGAUGGCCACAUGAAGAUGGAGGCAGAGAUUGCAGUUAUGCUGCUGCAAACUAAGGAAUGGCUCUGGCCCUCCAAGGAUUGCUGAUAACCACCAGAAACUAGAAGAGACAAGGAAGGAUUCUUCCCUAGAGCCUUCAGAGGGAGCAUGGCCCUACUGACACCUGGAUUUCAAACUUGUAGCUUCCUAAACUGCAAGAGAAUAAAUUUCUGUUGUUUUAAGCCAUAUAGUUUGUGGUAAUUUGUUAUGGCAGUCCUAGGUAAU